GGUGAGUAACACGUGAGCAACCUGCCCUGGACUCUGGGAUAAGCGCUGGAAACGGCGUCUAAUACUGGAUAUGAGCUCCUUCCGCAUGGUGGGGGUUGGAAAGAUUUUUCGGUCUGGGAUGGGCUCGCGGCCUAUCAGCUUGUUGGUGAGGUAAUGGCUCACCAAGGCGUCGACGGGUAGCCGGCCUGAGAGGGUGACCGGCCACACUGGGACUGAGACACGGCCCAGACUCCUACGGGAGGCAGCAGUGGGGAAUAUUGCACAAUGGGCGGAAGCCUGAUGCAGCAACGCCGCGUGAGGGAUGACGGCCUUCGGGUUGUAAACCUCUUUUAGCAGGGAAGAAGCGAGAGUGACGGUACCUGCAGAAAAAGCGCCGGCUAACUACGUGCCAGCAGCCGCGGUAAUACGUAGGGCGCAAGCGUUAUCCGGAAUUAUUGGGCGUAAAGAGCUCGUAGGCGGUUUGUCGCGUCUGCUGUGAAAUCCCGAGGCUCAACCUCGGGCCUGCAGUGGGUACGGGCAGACUAGAGUGCGGUAGGGGAGAUUGGAAUUCCUGGUGUAGCGGUGGAAUGCGCAGAUAUCAGGAGGAACACCGAUGGCGAAGGCAGAUCUCUGGGCCGUAACUGACGCUGAGGAGCGAAAGGGUGGGGAGCAAACAGGCUUAGAUACCCUGGUAGUCCACCCCGUAAACGUUGGGAACUAGUUGUGGGGACCAUUCCACGGUUUCCGUGACG
rnacentral:rRNA from 1 species